CCCUGGCCUGAUCACCACCCAUGAGUGGCAGGGUCCAUCCAGAGCUGGCAGACACCCUACCGGUGAAUAGUUCUGGAACAUUCACUCGGCCACCUACGCUACCACAGCCUCUGUCUAGAGGAAGACAAUGUCAGAUUUCUCCCCAUCGGGUGCUGACUUGACAAGAAACUCACUUCAUUCACAAACCCUCCUCUCUAGGGAAGGCAUUUUUCUAAGCAGCAAAUGAGGACAAAACACAUCUGCAUUGACAAGUCGAAACUUAUAUCCUUCUAUGGUGUUUUUGCUCUUUUGAAAAUGUUAAUAAAAACUUAAUGUGGAAAAAAAACAACUUUUUUUUUCCAAAUAUGUGUACCAA